rnacentral:piRNA from 1 species
CGGGAGAAGAGGAGGAGGCUGCCUG